rnacentral:rRNA from 1 species
AAGGUAGCGAAAUUCCUUGUCGGGUAAGUUCCGACCUGCACGAAUGGCGUAACGAUCUCCACACUGUCUCGGCCAGAGACUCGGUGAAAUUGAAGUCGCGGUGAAAAUGCCGUGUACCCGCAGAAAGACGGAAAGACCCUGUGCACCUUUACUAUAGCUUGACAUUGGAUUUUGGGCCUGCAUGUGUAGGAUAGGUGGGAGGCUGUGAACCCUGUACGCCAGUAUGGGGGGAGCCAUCCUUGAAAUACCACCCUUGCAUGUUUAAGAUCCUAACUUCUUCCGGUUAUCCCGGAGAAAGACAGUGUCUGGCGGGUAGUUUGACUGGGGCGGUCGCCUCCUAAAGUGUAACGGAGGCAUGCAAAGGUUCCCUCAGCCUGAUCGGAAACCAGGCGCUGAGUGCAAACGCAUAAGGGAGCUUGACUGUAAGAGAGACAUCUCGAACAGGAACGAAAGUUGGCGUUAGUGAUCCGGUGGUCCCGAAUGGAAGGGCCAUCGCUCAUUGGAUAAAAGGUACGCCGGGGAUAACAGGCUGAUCGCAUCCAAGAGUUCACAUCGACGAUGCGGUUUGGCACCUCGAUGUCGGCUCAUCACAUCCUGGGGCUGAAGCAGGUCCCAAGGGUACGGCUGUUCGCCGUUUAAAGUGGUACGCGAGCUGGGUUUAAAACGUCGUGAGACAGUUUGGUCCCUAUCUUCUGUGGGCGAAGGAGAAUUGAGAGGGCCUGUCCCUAGUACGAGAGGACCGGGAUGGACGCACCCCUGGUGAUCCUGUUGUCGCGCCAGCGGCAUAGCAGGGUAGCUAUGUGCGGAAGGGAUAACCGCUGAAAGCAUCUAAGCGGGAAGCCUGCCUCAAGAUAAGUUCUCCCCUCGAAAGAGCUGAAGGGCCCGGGUAGACUACCCGGUCGAUAGGCUGGAGGUGUAAGCGCGGCGACGUGCUCAGCUGACCAGUACUAAUAGCCCGAGCGGCUUAUUUUU